UACCAAAGGGGAAUCAAUUCAAUACAUUUGAAAAGAGUUCUUACGAAGGGAAUGAUGGCCUACGUGGAUAUCCAAUGACAAAAGAUUGUGGGAAUGGUGUCUCAUCUCAACCACCUACCCUAGAAGUGCUCCAUCAAGAAGACAAUAAUUGUUGAAGAAGAAGGAUACAAAAUUAUGAG